rnacentral:rRNA from 1 species
UACGUAGGGCGCAAGCGUUAUCCGGAAUUAUUGGGCGUAAAGAGCUCGUAGGCGGUUUGUCGCGUCUGCCGUGAAAGUCCGGGGCUCAACUCCGGAUCUGCGGUGGGUACGGGCAGACUAGAGUGCAGUAGGGGAGACUGGAAUUCCUGGUGUAGCGGUGAAAUGCGCAGAUAUCAGGAGGAACACCGAUGGCGAAGGCAGGGCUCUGGGCUGUAACUGACGCUGAGGAGCGAAAGCAUGGGGAGCGAACAGG